ACUCCUACGGGAGGGCAGUCAGUGGGGAAUUUUUCGCAAUGGACGCAAGUCUGACGAAGCAAUGCCGCGUGUAGGGAUGAAGGUUUUCGGAUUGUAAACCUACUGUUAUAAGGGAAGAAAACCUGAUAUAGGAAAUGAUAUCAGCUUGACGGUACCUUAUCAGAAAGGGACGGCUAACUACGUGCCAGCAGCCGCGGUAAUACGUAGGUCCCGAGCGUUAUCCGGAAUUAUUGGGCGUAAAGAGCAUGUAGGCGGUUUAUUAAGUCUGGUGUGAAAGCUAGUGGCUCAACCACUAAAUUGCAUUGGAUACUGGUAAAGCUAGAAUACUGGAGGGGCAAGUGGAAUUCCAUGUGUAGCGGUGGAAUGCGUAGAUAUAUGGAGGAACACCAAUGGCGAAGGCAGCUUGCUGGACAGUAAAUUGACGCUGAGAUGCGAAAGCGUGGGUAGCAAA
rnacentral:rRNA from 1 species